UACGUAGGUGGCAAGCGUUUAUCCGGAAUUAUUGGGCGUAAGCGCGCGCAGGCGGUCCUUUAAGUCUGAUGUGAAAGCCCACGGCUCAACCGUGGAGGGUCAUUGGAAACUGGGGGACUUGAGUGCAGAAGAGGAGAGCGGAAUUCCACGUGUAGCGGUGAAAUGCGUAGAGAUGUGGAGGAACACCAGUGGCGAAGGCGGCUCUCUGGUCUGUAACUGACGCUGAGGCGCGAAAGCGUGGGGAGCGAACG
rnacentral:rRNA from 1 species